rnacentral:lncRNA from 1 species
UGUAUUUAGUGGGAGUAUAAGCUUGAUCAGGAGUUUCUACACGUGUAAUCUUCUUUUGAUUUAAAACAUUACUGAUGCUUGGUCCACGUCAUCGUCGCUUGUCACCUAUACAAACAGGGUAUCGUAACUGUAUGAUGUAUCCACAUACCCACAGAGGACUAAAAAUUCAGAAACCUAUUUAAUGCUUCUCUAAAAUAUGGUUCUAUAACUUAUUUUUAAGAUUUUUUUUUUCUGAAUAAAAAUUUAAUAGUUAAAUUUCUAUUCAGAAAAAAGUAAUCUUAAAAUAAGUUAUAAAACUAUACUUUCCAGAAUCAUUAAACAAAACCUUUUCAAUAUAAAAAAUAUUCACUGAGAUAUAGAUAUAUGUACACAUGAAGGUAAAAUUCUCCGGCCAGCAUGACUCCAUUCAUGAACAAAUUUCUUGACAGCAUGCAUGUUAGUCAAAUGCUUCUUGUACUUAAUCAGGCUGGUCUUGGAGCAUAUACUUGUAGCUGUGUCGAGGUAAAUAUUUUAAGUAUACUAAAUAUAUUAACUCGAUAACAUUACUAAUAUAAGUAUUUAACAAACUGAGUUAAAUUUCAGAUUUCAGAGCUUCUAGUCUAGUUCUCUGGAUCAAACUCAAGUACUAUAUUAGUUCAUAGGACAUUAGGGAAUAUAUGCCGCGUACACUCACAUAUCUUCACUGAUGAUCCAUGCUUAUCAAAUACUCCUAGGGUCAUUUCUGUGCACGGAUCAAAAACCUCCCAUGUAACACCUGCAAUUUUCAUGCACCUGUAGCUUUCAUCGCACCUGCAAUGACUUAACUACUGCUCUACACACUUAACUAAAAAUC